rfam:Octopus bimaculoides Scaffold33038_contig_100, whole genome shotgun sequence.
UCAUCGGCCCUUUUCAGGGCCAAAUAUAUUUUCAUGAAAGUUAUCU